AACAAGCAAGUGCGUGUAUGUUUGCCCUAUCCCAGGACGCUCCACGAUAGCCAACUGGCGCUCUUCAUCGUGAGUCGUUCGAUCUAGGAGCGCAGCCCGCGUCAAUCCCCGCCGUUCGUCCACUCCCAGUUCCCCUCAACGCGGGGUAAAACCCUAGCCCCGAGCCGCCGCCAGCCUCAUUCUCUUCCUCGUUUGUUCCUCUCUCCCACGGCUCGAGUUGUUGUCCUCCUUCCAUUUUGAUGCCACCCCGACCUGCCUCCAUGGAACGCCCCACCUCUCCUCCUCCAUCCUUCUCCCUCGAUGAGCUCGCACUACCCCCUCGCUCUGCCUCUCCUUCGUGCUCGGUGGGCAGAACACACGUGGCUGUGGCGACCAGUGGAGGAGAACAACUAACCAACUAGAAAAGCAGCAGGACCGGCAGCGACAAAUAUUCCUUCACGGCACCGCAGCAGUCAGCAGGAUCAGAAGGUUGUUUUACUUGAUGGAGGUGCACACCGUUCAGACUUCAGAGUAUGCAGACAAGACAAGCAAUGAACUUCAAUUUUAUUUUCCCACUUUGGUGCUCCAGUGAGCAUGAUAAGUUGUGUUUAGCCUGCUACGUCCUGGGUACAGUGUGUACAGGAAAUUAAUCUUUAGACUGACUGAUUUCACACAAAUAAUUGAUGCAAAAAAUCUUUGGCAUAUAAUUUUUGUGUUAGGGUCAUCUACAUGUUUGUUGUUAUGCUUCAUACAGCUGAAUCUAUUUGCUUGAUGUUUUUUUGACUGCCUACACAUGCUCAUAGACAGCGCACGUCACUGGCGAGCAAAUGCAAUCGUGGCCCAUGGGUGCACUUGGGUGGUCAUUGUGGUUGGCUGCGGAGCAUCAGUGAAGUGUAAAAUUUCCAGAUAAGACAAUAGAUAAUGAGCUAUCUUCAGAAAUCUGUAGAAAAGCAAUAUCUGAGCUCGAAGAAACCAAUUGGCAUGAACGGAUAAAAUUUAAAACUAGACCUAGCUGAAACUUGAUGAGAUCCGCAUGACAGAAACUGUAUGUGUAGCAAAGUUUGGAUGAGAAUGUUCAAUUAGUUGGAAUUCAGGUGGCUCCCUAUGUGGGAAUUGAGGUGAUCAGAAGUUCAUGAAAAUUUUAAGAAAUGGGUUUGGAUGAUGUAAGCUUCCCUGUUCAUUGCCAACCCACCUGAUCCUCCAGAAAUGAUUACAGACCAGACAAGGUAUUCUUACAUACUAUUUUCUUGCAACGUACAAUCUACCUGUCUUAUUUUGCUUCUUCAGUUCUUCUUGAACAAUCAUGUUGAUCAUGGUCCACGUUUUCUAUUAUAGCUCAUAAUUAGGGGUAACAAUAAAUAGGUCAGGGUACUAUGACUUUAUAGUGGUAGCAUUUUCCUUUUUCUGCAUUUGAAGGAAUGCAUACAAUGUUAUUAUUCCAUAACUUCUUGAUUCAUACGACACAAAGAACAAAAUUUAGAUAUGGCCAAAGAUCAUCCUAGGAGUGGUGGGGCACUCCAAAUUGUUUUGAGUUCAUCUAAUUGCUUAUUGACCGGGGUUUCUUCAAACAUUUUGCUUCUGUUCAUACAUCGAUUCUGGGAUAAUCAGGUCUGGAGAAACUAACUUCUGCACCACUAUUAACUCUGUUAAAUUUGCGCGUCUACUCCUAUAUAUCUAAUAAUGCCAAGAUUGUCUUGUCAUGUCCAUCAGAUACUUGACAUAGUUCCAAUCGCGUGUGUACGUCUUCCUUAAAUGGCUUUUUUCGAAGAAGCUCAGGUAAAUUAUUGUUCAUGUGAGAACGGUGUAGGUACAUUGGUGCACUGCUCUGCUGCUCUAAACAUUUUUUAUUCUUCCAUUGACAGAAUGCCAUAUAUAGUAUAGGUACAUUGGUACAACGACAUUCCUUCCAAUUUAUUGUAAUUCUUGCUACGAUAUGUAUUAGCAGUAUUGUUAAAAGAUUAUAUGAUAAUCUAUUUCAGAGAGACUCUAAUGCAUACUAAUGAUACAUUUUUCAUCUUAGGGUGUAUCCAUAGCAUUUAUCUCCAUUGUAGAAAAUGUUUGGGGUAGUUACAUUCCUGAGUAUUUAGAGAUAAAUAAGACGCUGCAAGAUUGUUGCCUCUACCACAUAUAGGUUAUGAACACUAGGACAAUUGGAUGGUAGAGGUCAGACCAGAGUAUAAUGAAGUUUCUAAAAAGAAAAGGAAUGUGAGCUCCUACCUGCUUCAUCAUAAAAUUCCCUUGUACUAACUUUCUUAAGUUAGUCUUGCACCAUAUUCAUUUUCUACAAUGCCUUUCGGCCUUCUCUUUUUUAGGUUGGAGAUAGAUUUGAUGUAUCUUCCAUCUCUCCAUAGUCUGCCAACGAGUGUCGUAUUUGGGGCGAUGAUUAGCCCUUCAUAAGUCUAAUUAUUCUAGGUAAUAGGAUGAAGCAAGGAUCUAUGUUCACCAUGGUGCCAUACAUAAUUUAGCACCGCAUUUCAUUAUUUUUAUGUAAGGUACUUCAUCUUUCAUGAUGCGCAGACUUGAGUUGAAUUACCUUCUUGGGCUGAAAAAACCACAUUGUUCUAUUAUUGAAGAAUGUUAUGUGAACUGAAUGAACUUGUUUUCCUCUAUUGCUCAUUAUGUUUUAAUAUCCGCAUUGAGUUGGGUUCAACUCUCUUUUGCAUUCUAAUUUCUGUUAGAAAGGGUUACACCUAUUUUUGAGAUUAAACAAAACUUUUGCACAUGCUUAUCGUCAUGUUAGUUAUUUAUAUAGCCCAUUUAGGAUGAAUUAUUUCAUUGAUGAAGCUAUUAUCAUGCUUAUUGCCUACUCAUUUUAUUAUUAUUUCGGUCGUAAUUAGAGAUCAAACCAUUUACAGAGGCCUUUCUCUUUUCCCUUUUUUGGCAGAAUUAAUCGAUGAUGAUAGGAUGACAUGACAGUUUCCUGGUAAGACGACCAUGCGGAUUUGCAUGCCAAGGUCCAAGACAUGUACCUCCCAUGACUUGAUGAAGCAUCUGACUGAGAGCUUUCACAUCGAAGACUGGACAGGAGCAGCAUGCCAACAGGAAAAUUGUGUACAAAGAGAACUGCGACGGUCCCUCAGAAGAAUUGAUCGAAGCAUACGGCAAAAAGGAACCAACAGAAAAUGAAAUUGGACAGUGAUUGGGAUGAUGAGGUUGGGCUGCUACCGUAUGGCAAGGAGGACGGUUUUCUGGUACCAGGUACUACUUAAGGUAGAUUUAGAUUAAUCCACGUUCAUUAAAAAGACUCCAGCUAAGCUGUGUGUAGCUGUGUAGGGGUGUAUAUGGGUGUAUGAGUUGUAACCUAGCCACUAGAAGAAAAAUCAUGGACAGGGGAUGUAACAUGUAACGUUUGCUUUUCCUACAGCCUGAUUGACUAUUGCUUUUCC